GAUCAUGGCUCAGGAUGAACGCUAGCUACAGGCUUAACACAUGCAAGUCGAGGGGCAGUCAUCAUCAAAGCUUGUCUUUGAUGGAUGGCGACCGGCGCACGGGUGAGUAACACGUAUCCAACCUGCCGACAACACUGGGAUAGCCUUUCGAAAGAAAGAUUAAUACCGGAUGGCAUAGUUUUCCCGCAUGGGAUAAUUAUUAAAGAAUUUCGGUUGUCGAUGGGGAUGCGUUCCA
rnacentral:rRNA from 1 species